rnacentral:lncRNA from 1 species
CUGUGAUUUUGUAAUUCAGAUAAAAGGGUAGAGAAACAUUUUCGGAUACUGAUUCAGGUUGCCAAAGUGUUUCCUGCCUACUUGGCCUCAGUUCUAGGCACAAGGGAACCCUCCCCUAACAGUGCUGCCAAUGUUCUCUCCUCUCUUUGCGGGUUCAACAAACCAUGUAAGUAUAAGAACACGACUAAACCCAGCAUCCUUUCCCUUCAAACUGGUGAUCAUUUUCCCUAGGCAGAGCAAAAUAAGACCUCAGUUUCCUCAUCUGAAAAAUGGGGAGAGUCGGAUGAAAUGGCCUCUCAGGCCAUUGGGAGUUCUGCCAUUUUAGGAUUCUCUCUGUAAUGCAGACACCACGUGUUCGAGUCACAGGACACCGGCAGGAGAACAAAACCUGACCGACUCACUUAGAGCUGUUCAGCUGUUAAUCCGUUUCUCUUGGAGCAGAUCAUGAAGAAUAACCCUGCAAAUUGGAAAUACUUAAAUACAACUGGCACACUGUUUUAUAAAAAGAAAGAUAACAUUCGCUUCUAGUGUUCACAUACAUAACCUAGCUUUUGAUUCUAAGACUAGGUGCCACAGCUGGAAAUUCCAAUUUGAAAUUAUGACUUCACAGAGAACUGGAUGCUCUUGUGAAGAUAAGGUUUCCUGGAGAAGGGCAGCAUUCUUGAAGGCAAUCAAAAAUCUGUAUUAGAUUUUCUGUAGAAAAACAGAAACCUCCAGAACACUACCAAGCAUUAAGAAUCUGCAAGUUAGCAGACAGACGAAGCUGCCAACCUGCAGUUCAAAUUUCUGAGCAGGAGCUCAGCACAGUACUGGGUGCACACGGAGACCUCUGAAAUUAACAGAUUUGGAAUCAAAUUUUACAAAAAGGUGUUCCUUAUAUUCAGUAUCAAUUAAAACAAUUUUUUAUGGAACUCUUACUCCACGGCGUGAGUUGAGGAAAUUGUGGCUUAAAAGCAACAGACUCGGCUCGUGGCCCGGUGUAGCUUCAGCAGCAGCCGGACAGCGGAGCGCGGCCCUGGGAGGAGAUGAGCAGAUGUGUUCCUGCCACACACUUUUGAGGGAACAGUCGCUUAGGUUCCCACUUUCCAACUAUCCUCGUCCCAGAGCAGGUCUACUUUCUGGCGUGCCCGACACAGACUUCCUCUACAACUCCAGGAGCUCGUGGCAGUCCGACCUCCUGGGCAGCCUGGUCCUGUGCGUGAACACCUUGAACAAGGGGCGUGCAGCAGUCCUGUGGAGAUGACUACACAGCAAGUCUCGUGAGUCCGGGAGCUCCCAAUUCCCUCCGGUCAACACAACAAAUGGAAGAUCUGAGUUGUCAUCUGAUAAAUCAUUAAAAACGUAAAGAGCUGUUGCUGGUUUUGGCCUGUAAUUCAGGGAAGUUCCCAGGACUGAGUGGGGCGGCAGAGCAGAAACAAAACUUCCAUUCUAGUCUCCUUAUGUGUGCAAAGAGGGCUUCUUCGCUCUUCUAUCUAUGAAACUAAGAGUGUAACUGAUACUGAGUCCUGUCACAUUCCAGAAAGAAGUAAUACUCUUCCACUGCACGCAACCUACUUAGAAAAACAGAAUCUCUGUUUCCUCGGGAGCCUUUUCCAGCAAAAUAAUGUAUUCUCUUUUAAUCCAUGUGUACUACUGGCCAUCACAAGAGUCACAACACAAAGUGUACAGCACCUUCUGAUCACCAUUGAAAUUUUUUAAAAAUUAAAUUUCAAUUUACGUACCUAGUUUUGUUGCACAGAAGUAUGACAGAAUAAUCAAUAAAACAUUUCCGAG